AAAAAAGGUAAGCUACUAAGAGCGAAUGGUGGAUGCCUUGACUGGUAAAGGCGAUGAAGGACGUACUAGACUGCGAUAAGCUACGGGGAGCUGUCAAGAAGCUUUGAUCCGUAGAUUUCCGAAUGGGGCAACCCAAUGUAUAGAGAUAUACAUUACCUAUAUAGGAGCGAACGAGGGGAAUUGAAACAUCUUAGUACCCUCAGGAAAAGAAAUCAAUAGAGAUUGCGUCAGUAGCGGCGAGCGAAAGCGUAAGAGGGCAAACCCAGUGCUUGCACUGGGGGUUGUAGGACUGCAAUGUGCAAGAGGUGAGUUUAGCAGAACAUUCUGGAAAGUAUAGCCAUAGAGGGUGAUAGUCCCGUAUGCGAAAAACAAACCUUAGCUAGCAGUAUCCUGAGUAGGGCGGGACACGAGAAAUCCUGUCUGAAGCUGGGUCGACCACGAUCCAACCCUAAAUACUAAUACCAGAUCGAUAGUGCACAAGUACCGUGAGGGAAAGGUGAAAAGAACUGAGGUGAUCAGAGUGAAAUAGAACCUGAAACCAUUUGCUUACAAUCAUUCAGAGCACUAUGUAGCAAUACAGUGUGAUGGACUGCCUUUUGCAUAAUGAGCCUGCGAGUUGUGGUGUCUGGCAAGGUUAAGCAAACGCGAAGCCGUAGCGAAAGCGAGUCUGAAUAGGGCGCUUAGUCAGAUGCUGCAGACCCGAAACGAAGUGAUCUAUCCAUGAGCAAGUUGAAGCUAGUGUAAGAACUAGUGGAGGACUGAACCCAUAGGCGUUGAAAAGCCCCGGGAUGACUUGUGGAUAGGGGUGAAAGGCCAAUCAAACUUCGUGAUAGCUGGUUCUCUCCGAAAUAUAUUUAGGUAUAGCGUUGUGUCGUAAUAUAAGGGGGUAGAGCACUGAAUGGGCUAGGGCAUACACCAAUGUACCAAACCCUAUCAAACUCCGAAUACCUUAUAUGUAAUCACAGCAGUCAGGCGGCGAGUGAUAAAAUCCGUCGUCAAGAGGGAAACAACCCAGACUACCAGCUAAGGUCCCUAAAUCUUACUUAAGUGGAAAACGAUGUGAAGUUACUUAAACAACCAGGAGGUUGGCUUAGAAGCAGCCAUCCUUUAAAGAAAGCGUAAUAGCUCACUGGUCUAGUGAUUUUGCGCGGAAAAUAUAACGGGGCUAAAGUAAGUACCGAAGCUGUAGACUUGAUUUUA
rnacentral:rRNA from 1 species